rnacentral:rRNA from 1 species
UCCGUAGGUGAACCUGCGGAAGGAUCAUUAAAAAGUACCGAGUGGCGUCCCCGCCACGGGUUAAUGCACCGAUGCCCCAUGGGCACGUGACGUGUAAAAUUACUUGUUGAAACACUUUAUUUAUGCUUCGGUUGCUCCUUCUGUCUAACCGCGGAGGGGUAAGUCGGCCAGAGGCACACUUUAAAACUAGUUGAUGAAAUGUCAUGCUGUCUGAUACUGUUUAGUAUUUGAGAAAUCGAAUAUCUGUUAAAACUUUCAGCAACGGAUCUCUUGGUUCUCGCAUCGAUGAAGAACGCAGCGAAACGCGAUAGGUAAUGUGAAUUGCAGAAUUCCGUGAAUCAUCGAAUCUUUGAACGCACAUUGCGCCUUCUGGUAUUCCGGUAGGCAUAUCUGUUUGAGCGUCAGCAAAAACCUCUCAGCAUUUAAUUUAUGUUGGUACUGGGCGUGAGGUAUGAGCUUAUAGUAUAGCUCGCCUCCGCUUUAAACUUGCUGCACGACCGUAAGCUAUUGCUAGGUUUUAUGAAGUUGGUGUUUACAUUUUUUUCAUAAUCUAGUGGUUGGGGG